CUAUGAAUCAGUUGAAUCAUCAACAAUCUCUCACAAAAAAUAUCUCCGCCUGUUUUGAGUGAAAAGAAAGAUACACCGUCAGCUAAUCCAUCAGUAUCUCCUAUGAAAUCAGUUGAAUCAUCAACAAUUCUCUCACUAAAAAUAUCUCCGCCUGUUUUGAGUGAAAAGAAAGAUACACCGUCAGCUAAUCCAUCAGUAUCUCCUAUGAAAUCAGUUGAAUCAUCAACAAAUCUCUCACAAAAAAUAUCUCCGCCUGUUUUGAGUGAAAAGAAAGAUACACCGUCAGCUAAUCCAUCAGUAUCUCCUAUGAAAUCAGUUGAAUCAUCAACAAAUCUCUCACAAAAAAUAUCUCCGCCUGUUUUGAGUGAAAAGAAAGAUACACCGUCAGUUAAUCCAUCAGUAUCUCCUAUGAAAUCAGUUGAAUCAUCAACAAUUCUCUCACAAAAAAUACCUCCAACUGUUCUAAAUGAGAGUGAUUUGAAACCUGCUACACAUUUGGAUCAAAAUGCAAAUAAGCGGCCAGUUGCAUUAGUAUCACCCAAGGAUCCGAGACUUGCGAGAGGUCUUUUGCGUAAAAGUUUGUGUAGUGAAAGGUUGCCACAACCCACUAUUCCACUACAGGAAAAUGUUACCAGCAAACCUGAGCUGAGACAAGAAAAUGUUCAAUGCAAGACAGUGCCUAAAGAAGAGAAUGUUCCAAGAAAGUCAGAGGAGAAUGUGCCCAGCAAAUGUGAGCCCACCCAAAGCCAGAGCCUCCGUGCCAAACUUGCAGAGGAAAUUACGACUGUUCAUAAAGUUGGCGCAAGUGUUGGGGGUGCGCUUAGAACAUUGAAAACUUCCGAAAAACUGAAACCUAAAAGCCUCCAUAGUAUUGAACAAAAUCGGAUUGCGAAUCUAAAACCGGGUACAAUUAUGGAUUUAAUGAAUAAAGAGACGCCAAAGAAAUCAAAACUCUCAAAUCCGAUCUCUGACCAGCAAAAAGUCAAGACUAAUCAAUCAACCUUAUCUAGUAUGUCAAAAGAACAACUGGAAAAAUUAGUUGUUGAAAACAUUCAUAAUCUGCCAACUAUACCACCAGACACAAUCCAGAUAUUAGAACGUUUUUCAACUAAAAGUUCUUUACAAGGCAAUCCUGGAACUGAUCAAGCUGUUGAUAGAUUUGAUCCAAGUCAAACUUCAAUAACUCAUGGGCUUCCUAGCAAGCCAGAAAGAGGAUUGGGUAAUUCUGAUAUUGUUGGUGAUCAAAACGCAUUUGCUUCUUUUAGGACUCCCAGGUCCAGUGAAAUUUGUAACGGAACAAGAAGUGGCUCAAAUGACUCUAACCAGGUAACCGACAGAUUUGACCCAUUCCAUAACUCUAGAUCAAACAAUUAUGGGGAAGAAAGAUCUGGAAGUCUCAGUAGAUUGGAGAGUCAUGCCUUUGAUACUGUUGCUAUGCCCUCUCAGCAUAGUAUCCAAUCACCAAGUUAUAACCAUUUGAACUUUUCCCAUGAUAUUAGCUCUGGUAACAGUAAUAGAAAUGUUGGACAAUCGUUUCAUGAGCCACAAAAUGGCCAUUCGCAGAAUUACUUCAACAGAGAUAAUCGGCGAUCAUCACUGGAAAGAUCCUCAGAAGCAGACGAAUGGCAACGAGUUCGUGAGGAUAGAUUAAGAUUUACUAACGAUAGUUCUGGAUUAUACUCGAGAUAUCGCAGAGAAAACUGUGUGCAGAAUUCGAAUCAGUAUGGAAGAACGUCAUUGGGUAGAAGGCCUCCAGAUCACAGAUUCAGUCCAGAACGGACGCCAGGAAGGUAUUCACACUCCAGAUCUAGUCUUGAUUAUCCAGAAGAUAGUAGUUUUUAUGAUUCAACAGAAAGAAGGAUGCCAGAAGCUCGGUUUAAUAGGCACAGAGAUUUCAAUGAAUCAUUUUCUGAUAUGUCAGAUUUGGAACACAAAAGAGCUCAUUCAACCCGUUCUAGUUAUGAAAGAUCUUUCAGUUCACCUUCAGCUGAUAGAUUUAAUUCUGACAGGUUCUCUGGACGUUCUCGAAUGAGGCAAGAACGAUUUCAUCCAGACGAUUCUAACAAAUUUGAAAGAUCUGUAAGCCGAGAACGUAACUCGGACAAUUAUGAUAGAUAUUCUAAAAGAUCAUUCAGCCAAGAACGUUCCGACAGACAUCCUGUCAGAACAGCAAGCCAAGAAAGAGCUACCACUGACAGCAGAACGGCAUCAAGCCAACCAUGUCAUAGAGACACCAGAAGAGACACCUACGUUUCUCCCCUCGAUCACCUCUACUCUGACACAAGAGGGCCGAUAACUGGGAGAGGUUAUGGUGUGCAAAAUUACAGAUUAAAAUCCAAAGAAAAUGAAAAUAAACCUCAACGGAAAUUUUUCGAAAAAAAUACGAAAAAGAUCACUGACCAUGAACAUGAUUCAAAUUCUGCCGAAUCAAAGGUGCAUAUCAUUCCAAAGGAGAUGGAUAGCAAGCCUAUUUCAAAAGUUGUUGAAAAAACAUCAUAUAGUAAUAUCCUGUCAUGUAGUUCAACAGAAAUAUCCCAUUCACGAGAGAAGAGUACCGAUGAAAGAGAAAUAGAAGUUCGUGAAGUGGCAGAGAAUUCUCAUGAAAGCGUCCAUGAUGAUCCUGGCGAAAUACCCAUUAGUUUUGUUGAAGAGAGUAAAGUAGUUUUGCUAGAAGAUGAGUCAGAUAUGAAGUGCAAAAAGCUGGACAAAAAUAAUAUUUCUUCAAAGGAUACUCUAGAAAAAUCAGAGGUUGAUGAAUGUAAUGUAAAAUCGAAAUUGGAAAAGCUUGAAGCAGUUAAUGUUUCCAGGUUGUCUCAAGGGAGUGAUCAAUCAUCUCAGCACAAUAUCGUUUCUCAAGCAAAAGAAAAACAUUCAGAUUCGUCUACUACUUCAGGAAUUCUUGGUGAUGGCCUUAAUCAGACGGAGUCUGUUAGAAACAGAUCUGAAAAUGAUAAACAAUUGAACGAAUCUGUAGCUCCUGAAAAUGAAAACUCGGCUUCGAAUGUUGAUAGAGAAAGCAUCAUACCAGGUAGUGCCUUAGAAAAGCCUGAUAACAUCGCAAUCAGUAGUCCAAAGAAAUCUAAAAGUAUAGAUAAUGAUAAUGAUGAAAUGUCUCAAGAAAAGAAUAAAAACAGUCAGGCAAAAGAUUCCUCGUCAAUUGCUGAACCAAGUUUGGAUCGACAAAAAAACAAAGAAAAAGAAAAAUCAAUAAAUCCUAUGUGCCUUGACAAUAUUAACACUGACCAAGCUUUGGAAAAUAAUGAUGAUGAUGAUUCAAUAGUAAUAAUUCCGUCAAAUGAAUCUGAUAUACCUAUAAAAGUAGAAUCCCAAAGCGAUAUCAAAGUUGAGGAGAUUUGUGUCAAAGAAGAGGGAGAGUCCAGUGGUGGUAUUUCAAAAAAACCAAUCGUCGAUUUUUUCAUGCAAACAGAAGAAACCAAAAUGUUUUACGCUAUAAAUAAGGGAAAAAUCAAUAAAAAAAUUGACAGAAUAAAAAUGAUUAUUGAUGAGGAAGAUGAGGAGGAAGAAGCUAGUGAAUUUAAAAUUGGAGAAGAUAUAAAACCAGAAGAUGUCUGCACUCAAAACAAUGAAUGCAAAGACAUGAGCAACAUUGCAGUCACUUCAAAUAAGAGUGACGAUGCAUCUUCUAAUAAAUUGACUGAAACCACUAAAAAACUCCGUAAAUGUACUCGCAAUAAGAAGAAAACCAGACAAGUCAAAGGAAAGAGACCUUACAGACGUUGUUUGAAUACUAAGAUCAAAGCUCAAAAUGAAAAAACAUCAACACACUUGAAAAAGGGAAAGCGAAAUAAGAGUGAACUUGAUAAAUUACAUGAUGGGCUACGUGAAAUGUUCUUAAAAGCAGAAAUUGAAAAAACGUCUGGAAUUCGUUCCUGUAGACUUCGAAAUUCAACAGCUACCAAUCAAGUGGAUAAAAAUCCAGAGGUUAGUAACAGAAAUAAACUUCAAAAAGAAAGUACAAAAGAUCAAGUUGAAGGCGGGAAAAAUAUAGAAAACAAAAAUGAUGAAAUAGAGUUGCUCGAUGAAACCGCACAAGUUGAAUUGAAAGAUAGUGAGUUGAAGAUUUCCAAAUCGAAUUCUUCAAACAAGGAAAACAAAGAAGACAACGAUGAUCUUAAUAAGUUGCCAAGUGUCUCAAAAGUUACGGAAGACCUCGAUCAUCAACAAAACGACUGUGAUAAACAGAAAACGGAGGAAGAAUUAAUAAAAUCGAUUUUGAUUAACAGCUCUUUAAAAUCAACUCCCAUUGUACUUUUACAAAAAAGUAAUGUUCUGAUGAAACCGAAACCGUGUUCUACAUCAAACGCAACAAAACAAUCUGUUGUAAAUAAAUCUGAAGUAUCAGAUAAAGUGGCGUCCACAUCAAAAGCAAUAAAACAAUCUGUUGUAAAUACAUCUGAAGUAUCAGAUAAAGUGGCGUCCACAUCAAAAGCAACAAAACAAUCUGUUGUAAAUAAAUCUGAAGUAUCAGAUAAAGUGGCGUCCACAUCAAAAGCAACAAAAAAAUCUGUUGUAAAUACAUCUGAAGUAUCAGAUAAAGUGGCGUCCACAUCAAAAGCAACAAAACAAUCUGUUGUAAAUAUAUCUGAAGUAUCAGAUAAAGUGGCGUCCACAUCAAAAGCAACAAAACAAUCUGUUGUAAAUACAUCUGAAGUAUCAGAUAAAGUGGAGUCCGCAUCAAAAGCAACAAAACAAUCUGUUGUAAAUACAUCUGAAGUAUCAGAUAAAGUGGCAAAAAAGUUGAAUUCCACUGAAAAAUCUUCGAUUUGCGAAAAAAGUGAUGCUAGUCUUGUCGGCAAUAAUGCUGUUAAAACGCACGAUUCUUCUGUACCUAAGAAUUCAAGAAAAAAACGAAGUCCUCGGAAAAUUUUGGAUAUAGAUGAAUCAGUAAGUCAGCAGAAGCCUCUAAAAAAUCCUGUAAUUAUAUUAGAAAAGAAUAACCCAGCUAUGAUUGAAUCAGCAUGUCAAUCAGAAUCUCAAAAUUCAUCGUCCAAUGAGACUAAUCUUUCAAUAGCUCAUGACUCUAAUGUGUUGAACAGUGUUCCUCCAAUUUUAGAAGAGUCUGAUAAGAAUGGGAAUCUACAAAAAGGUUCUAUUGAGUCUGAAGAAAGCAUUUCUAGCAAUGCAGAAAUAGCAAAGGUGGGUUGUCGGAAGAGGUCUUCCCUUGAAUAUUCGGAGCUUGCCAACAUUUUUACCGAUAAGUCGUAUUUCCAAAAAUCCGGAUUUGGAUCCUCUGUGAAAGAAUACGAUUGUAAGAUAUGUAGUUUCUACGGGAAACCAAUAGUUAAACAUUAUGUUACCGAACAUUCAGACCAAGAUGUUUUGAUCUCCAGAUUAAACGCAAAUGAUGCCAAAGAAGCUAUUGUGAAAUCCAAAAAAGAAAUAAGUAUUAAACCAUCAGCAUUUCAGUGUUACAUGUGCAGUCGUCAGUGCACUAAUGUUGUUAGUUUCUAUGACCAUAUUACAUCGCACACGGGAGAAUACAGAUACACAUGUAAACUUUGUGAGCUUAAAACUUCAAACAGAGAUGCAAUGAAAGUCCACUGCACUGUAGACCACAAACUCGACUGGAAAAGUAAUUCUAAAACUGCCGUUGAAGUUGAUCCACUUCUUGAUAUGAAAAAUGUGUUCGGUUACAUUUGUUCAGAUUGUUAUUUUGUACAAUUGAAGAAAAGUACAGUUGAGGAACAUGUGAAAAAUCAUCAUAGUGGAGCGAAUGAUGUGAAAGUGAUACGGAUCAAUAUGUCUUCACUGGAAGCAAAGCCUGCACAACCAGCCCUCAACAACAACAACAUCGAUUCUAGUUUGUUGGACGGUAUUACUUCAAUCCCUUCCGUUAUUGAAGUUAGCAAUGAAAAUCUACCACCUAUUGCCUCGAAUACAACUAUUCAAGAAAAUCCUACAACCGUUGUAAAUGAAAGUGCAUUUUCAGCAAAUGCCUUGAAUACAACUAUUCAGGAAAAUCGUGCAACCGUUGUAAAUGAAAGUGCAUUUUCUUGUGUCGAACCAGACAAAGAUUUCACCAAAUUACGAUGCCUUAUGAAAGACACGUUACAAAAUAUAGGAGAUACUCUGUUCAGAAAGGAACAAACUGCUGUUAGCAAGGCAAUCUCUGGGAAAGUCGGCGACUUGCAUAAGUCUUGGAAAUGUAGUUCAGAAAAUGAAUCAAUCUCUUCAGGACCAGAGGAAAAUUUGUCUCAAGAAGAGUUAGAGGCGAAAAUGGAUAUUUCAUUGGAAAGUUUAUCUCUACCUCAAGAGGUAGAAGAAAUAAUUAUAGAUGAGGUAAGCUCUGCUGCUGAUGAAGAUAUGAUUGAACAACAGAUAUCAGAAGAGGAGUUGAGCCAAGUAGAGGAAACAGAAAUCGAGGAAGAAAUAUUACUUGCGAAAGAUAACGAGGAAGAAGAAAACAUCGUCGAAUUGGAAAGUUCUGAUGCUCACAGUGACUCGCCCAAAAUUUUCAGUCUCAUCACCAAAUAUGAACCAAGAUCAGAUGACAGCGAAGAAGACAAUUCUAGCGAUAAUACUUCUGUAGAUGAUUUUGAUAUGGAGGAUUUACAGAAUGAAGAAAUGUGUUUGUUAAACUUGGUAUGCGAUGCGGAUACUGAAAGUGCAGUUAUUUGCAAGGUUGAUGUAGGACCACUGACCAUCAGCCGAUCUAACAAAAGCGUGACAUUCUCGUGUAACAUCAGCUCUUGUAAUUUUACAAGUGAAAAUCCCAAGUAUAUUCUAUGCCAUUUCGGAAAGCACCUAGCUCUGUACACCACACUGGACUGCUCCAUUUGCAAACAUGAAUUUGAUUGCUCUUUGGGAUCUGUUCUCCUAUUGAAAGGAAUUGUCAGACAUGGCUUGGAGCAUAUGCUGCCCUCAAUUCCAACGCUUCCGCAAUCGCCUACACAAGCCCUGCCAGCAGUUGAACAGCAGCAGCAGCAGCAACCCCCAUCCAAUAUAGGGAGGAUUAGAGUUCGUCGUCUCAGUGGUGACAAGCUAUCUACAUUUUCUACGGUUGUAGACAACCCUCCUGUAGCUGGUCCGAGCUUCGUGCAAGAUCAACCGUCUACUUCUAGCAAUUUCUUUGGAAAUUUGAGAAUAGAAAGCGUAGUGAGUGCUGCAAAUUGUGAUGCAGAGACACGGCAGACCAUCAUGAACUCUCUCCACAAUGAAGCUACCCGAAAAAGACCUCGUGAACAAUACGAACUGGCCACUUUAGAGCAGAAUCCGACUAUGGAGUACCUAAUCAAUUUCUACAAAUGUAUGGGAGUAAACUGCCAUUUCAGCUCAAAUCGCUCCAGUGAUUUUCUCGAUCAUUUGAAGAAAUAUCAUCCUGUAAAAGUGACAUCUACUGCACCAUGGUUCCACUGCGCCUACUGUGACGUCAAGACUUCCUGCAGGACUGCUCUACUCAGACACCUGAAAGUCUAUCAUUGUCACAGCAAUAAACAAUGUGCUUAUUGCAAUUAUAGGUCUCUUUCGUACAAUAAUGUUAUGUACCAUCAUGACAUCGUACACGUCGACAAGACGUUAAAAAUAUAUAACUGUAGAUAUGUGGAGCCAUUGAUUCCUCGCCCCGACAUGCCGAAAAGAACUGAUGUUAUCCUGCCUUACCGGUGCAUGUUUGGCAAUGGAAGUGAUGGUAGCAGCUGCUACUAUUCGAGCACCUUUGUAUGGAACCUUAUGGAACGCCACCUCUUAUUCCAUGGCUAUAAUGGUCACAAAUGUCAUAUGUGUAAGAAACCUGUAUUAUUGACCGAGAUGAAUGAUCAUUAUUCAACCCAUUUAUUUGGUCUCUAUCAGUGCAUGUAUUGCAUUUUCGCUGCGCCAACGGGUGAAGUUAUGCGUGCACAUCUAUCUGGUUCCCACCCAGAUCUGAAACCCGAGGCGUGUAAGAGGGAGUUUAAGCCUGGUGCUUUUCAUUGUUUGGCCUACCGGAAUAUGCCUCUUGAUGUGGAAUUAAAUAAAUUGAAAAUUGUCAACUUCGAAGAUCUAUGGGUUCCCGUUGAAAGUGUGAUCGAUGGUGAACUCAUGGUUCCGACUUCAAUCCAGACAAAAACGGCAACCGCCACAGUUGGCACUCAACUAUCCAAAGUGGUACAACGACCGCGUACACAACCAAGCUUUCAAGUUUAUAGGAGGGUUGAUCAUUUAUUCCCAAAGAAUACGCCAAAACCUGCAGCCAGUCACGCUUCACAAUCUUCGGCUGCGACUCGAGUCAUAAACAAUGAACCGGAAGUUCCUCCAUUCGCUCUGUGGUCCAAAUCUCUUAAACCUCGCAUCGUGAAACGCUCAAGACCUCCACCAACCAUUGAUCAUGAAGUGAUCGAGAUAAGUUCUUCACCUGAAAGAGAGAGAUCUCCUGAAAGAGACUCUAAGAUUAUUCGAAAAGACUCUAUCAAACCUAAAAAAGAAUUUAUUGUGAACGAAGUUAUUGAGAACAACUCUUCCUCAGAAAGUGAUUCUGAUCCUGAAAUCGAUCAAGACCACAUAAUGUGCUUCCUGUGUAACAAAAUCUUCCAUAGUGAGAAAAAAGCGCUUCAUCACGUCACGACUGAACAUAAAGUCAAUAAGACUACAAUUGUGGACUAUUCUUCUGGCAGAUUAGUACGGCCAGAAAUUGUCACUAGUGACUCUCCUACGAAACCCCUUCAAUCUAAGAAAACAUUUACUAUGAAUGAAAUUCAUCUUUUGCCCAAAAAGGCAAUAUUAAAUUCUCCUAUUGUUUGUGAUCAUUGUGGAUUUUCAAAUGUAGUUGUUAAAAACUUGAAAAUACAUCUGCAAAACCAUGCUUCUGGGAAAGAAGUUGCCAGCAAAUUACUAGUUAAUCCAGUACCUUGUUUAGAGACAAACGAAAAAAUGUUUGACAAGAUGGUCAACCUAGCAGGCAGUUCACAUUCACAAACGGCAAAGGAUGCAGAUUUGAAACAUGUUUUCGAACCUCCGAAGUAUGUUGAUCCGUUUAUCAGAUAUUCGUGCGAUGUCUGUAAUCAUCUGACACUAAAUGACGAAAAUCUUCUAGCCCACUUGAAAACCAUUCACAAUGCCUCUCAUUACAAUUGCAUAUUCUGCCAGGGUGUCUCUGUACCAAUCGACAAGACGUUGAAUCAUUUGAAAAUGCACGACAGGAAUUUGUACAAAUGUCCGUACUGUAACUUAUGCCACUGGCAGAAAUCACAGGUAGAAAGGCAUGUCAUGGAAAAACACCGCGAGAAAAAACCUCUCGUCCUAAUCGUCAGAGAUCUUCGUGGGAACAAGACUAACGAAGAGGCGGUUCAACCGGAUGGCCUAAAAAUAUGCCAGUGGCAAUGUGCAUCAUGCGAGACUGUUGAACUCGAAGAGGCAGUGAUGAAAGAACACUGCAAGACUGUUCACGGCCUUCAAGAGUGGUGUAAAUGCUGCCUUUGCGAUUUCGCCUCGGACGAUAAUGUCGUAGUGAUAAAGCACUUCAAGGAUCACCAUCAAAACGAGAAGUUACAUGUGGUUCAAUUAUACCACAAAGUAUACAAGAAUCUACCGUCAUUUGACAACACGGUUGACAUGGGUCUUCCGCGAAGGAGGACCAGAAACCUCAGAGAACACAUAAGAGGCCAUAUUUUCUCUGAAAACUUGAAGGUACCGGAUGUACCAGAACCUGGCACAUAUAAGUGUCCCACCUGCGAUAAUUACACAAGCAAGAGUAAAUUGGACUUUAUUGCACACAUGUGGGAUGAUUAUAGAUUAAUCACGACACUACCUUCUUCUGCUGAAAAAAAACAAUACGAGACUUAUAUUAAUCGGGUUAUAUGGAGGCUAGAAAUCGAAAUGAAGGCAGACAAAAAAGAAGUUUCUGUAGAAUCAUCGAAAGAUAGUGAUUCAACGACCAAAGAUCCUCCCAGAUUGAAAAGGGCUUACAGAAAGAGGUCUGCGACAAAAGUUUCGGCCACUUCGGAAAAGAACAAAGUCGAUUCGGAUGACACCAGUAACAGUAAAAGACCGAGAUGUCGACCAGAGAAAGAUUCCUUAUAAAGAAAAUAGGAAAAGAAGUAAAAGAAAAAUAAAAGAAGUAAGGGAAAACGAAAAGAAAAAUUGAAUACAGGCAUAAAUUAUUGUUUCACAGAUUCAUCUGUAAAAGACAUACAUGUACACUUUGCUCCUUCCAAUGUUUGGAUGCAAAUGGUUUGAAAGAUCACAUGGCCAAACGUCACCCAAGUACACCACCAAUGGUCACAGCAACUGUCUCUCAGCCGAACGAUGCCGAUGCCACUGAAGAGGAGGUCAUUUACGAAUGCCAAAUAUGCGGUCGUGUAGACUAUAAAAACGCUCUACAUGAUCAUUUUAAAACGACUCACCCGUUUUCAUCUAUCAGCAUUUCCAUUUUUGACGAAGAACUUUUCAAAUGCAACAUUUGCAAUUUAAUCAAUCCUUCGUACGAGCGUCUAAUGAAUCACUCUACUACAGUUCAUCCAAACUGCUCUAUUGACAUUGCUGCCGUUGAGGCAGCUAAAAAUACGCAGCCUCCAAAAAAAUCCCCGGAAAUGUCCAACAUUAAAACGAACCUAGCUCGUUCAUUCUCUUGCUCGCUAUGCAGGGGGAUGUUCAACACACACACGGCUUGUCGCAUCCAUAUCAAAAAUCAACACAAAUCAAAGGCGGCCUGUAUUUCUGUUGUUAAUGAACAGCCUGAAAAAAUACCGGUCGCUAAAAAAUCCACGUCAAAACGUGUUGUUGAGAGUAGACCCCACGACAAGCUAUUUCUUUCAAAAGUAAUUUUGAAAGAUUUAGGAGAAUCACAUUAAUCUGAAAUCCAAACACGUCACUAUUUUUUAUUAUUUUGAUCUCUUACUCGAUGAAGAAUAAGUCUGUACUGAAGCGGUGCUUUUUAGGCUUCAGUCAGUAUAACGUUCUUAGUACUAUCAGUUUACUGUAAUCGAAACAGUAUCAUUCAAACUAUUAUCUUAGGUUCACGGUCAGUGUAUCAUUGACUGUCUUGCACGACUAUUAGUAUUAUCUCCCGCGACCAAAAAAAUGGUUGAUGUGUAAAGUGUUAAUAAGAAAGUUGGUAUUUUGAAGUAUUGAAAAUUAUUAUAUGUACGUAAAGUGUAAAGAAAUGUUCGUUGUAUAAAUUGCCAAUUUAUAUUAUUAGUGUUUUAUAGUUGUGCAAUAUUUGUUCUGAAUCGAUUUUCCGAUUCCCUUUACUCCAUACAUGUUUAUUCAUAUGUCAUUUUGGUACAGAUAAGAAGUUUAAUUUUGUAUUCGAUGCUAUGCUGCAAAAUCACUGUGGUUCAGAUAACAAAUUUAAUUUUUAUUCCAUGAGUGACGAUUUAUCAUUAUCAUUUCUGAUUUUUCAUACUACUUAUAAGUUUAUUCAUAUGUCAUUUUGGUAUAGAUAAGAAGUUUAAUUUUGUAUUCGAAGAGUAACAAUUUCUUGAAUAGCUACAUACAUGCUAUGCUGCAAAAUCACUGUGGUUCAGAUAACAAAUUUAAUUUUGUAUUCCAUUAGUGACGAUUUAUAAGUAUCAUUUCUGAUUUUUCUUAGUACUUAGUACUUUUUUCUUACUACUAGUUUAUUCAUAUGUCAUUUUGGUACAGAUAAGAAGUUUAAUUUUGUAUUCGAUUAGUGACGACUUCUUCAAUAGCUACAUACAUGCUAUGCUGCAAAAUCACUGUGGUUCAGAUAACAAAUUUAAUUUUUAUUCCAUGAGUGACGAUUUAUCAGUAUCAUUUCUGAUUUUUCAUACUACUUAUAAGUUUAUUCAUAUGUCAUUUUGGUAUAGAUAAGAAGUUUAAUUUUGUAUUCGAAGAGUAUCAAUUUCUUGAAUAGCUACAUACAUGCUAUGCUGCAAAAUCACUGUGGUUCAGAUAACAAAUUUAAUUUUGUAUUCCAUUAGUGACGAUUUAUAAGUAUCAUUUCUUAUUUUUCUUAGUACUUAGUACUAGUACUUUUUUCUUACUACUAGUUUAUUCAUAUGUCAUUUUGGUACAGAUAAGAAGUUUAAUUUUGUAUUCGAUGAAUGACGAUUUCUCGAUAUAAUUUCUGAUUUAUUAAAUACAUACAUGCUAUGCUGCAAAAUCACUGUGGUUCAGAUAACAAAUUUAAUUUUAUAUUCGAUGAGUGACAAUUACUUUAUCAAUGAGGAUUUACUUAUGUUCUAUCUUUGCAUUCCAAUUUUAUUAUAUUCUUUUUCCGCAUUCAGUUCAGAAUGACGUAGAACAUAUUUACAUGUAGAAAUUACAGUUUUGACAUUAUUUCUUUGUGGCUCACAAUAAAUUCUGUAUGUUAUUGAUAUAAUUUUCGAUGUUUCUGACCACAUACAUGUUUAAUUAUAUGUCAUUUUGGUAUGUUAUUGAUAUUUGUUAUUGAUAUAAUUUUCGAUGUUUCUGACCACAUACAUGUUUAAUUAUAUGUCAUUUUGGUACAGAUAAGAAAUUUAAUUUUUUAUUCGAUGAGUAAGAAUUACUUGAUCAAUGAGGAUUUACUUAUGUCCUAUCUUUGCAUUCCAGUUUUAUUAUAUUCUUUUUCCGCAUUCAGUUCAGAAUGACGUAGAACAUAUUUUCAUGUAGAAAUUACAGUUUUGACAUUAUAUUUUUGUGGAUCACAAUAAAUUCUGUACGUUCUUUU